UAUUUUUUUUCACAACCCUGCGUAAUCUUACCCGAGUUACGUUAAAUAUUGGUUGCGUAAAAAGUUUUCUUCAAUAAGAGGUUACGAUUUCACGUCAAUUCCCGCCAAGCACCCAGUUUCACAACAGUUGUGUACAUGAAUUCACCACGUGACUUGAGACAGCCAAUCAGCCGUCAUAAAAGUUUUACGCAAACUUUUGAUAUCCAUAUCCAAAAUGGAGAGUGCCAAGGAAUUGCUUUGCGAUUGAGGGUUCGAGUCACGUCAGCCGUCAAAAAUUUUGAGGAGGCCUAUGGAGCUGAGUGAGGAUGAGGAUCCAGUUUUGCAAGAUAAAACGACACCAAAACCAAGAAAGAGGGUCAGAUGCCCCUAUGAAUUUGAUGUUAAAAGCAUCAUUUUGAAAGGUAGAAACGGAAGGGGCUUGCUGGAGGCAUUAACUCGAGGACGGGUUCUAAACAACAGCGAGAGAAUUCAACUCAACUGAGUGUUGGUUAGCCAUCUAAUUGAAGAGCAUUGAUGGAACCCACCAUCACAAGUGAAGGAAAGCCUUGCGCACAGCCUUGUGGAUCAAUUCAAAAUUUUGAAGGACAUCAACGGAAUCACAGGAUAUGAAGGAACAUCCAUUGAAUAUUAUUUGGCCGAUCAUGAUGCAAAGGAUCGACCACAGCCUUUCUUGUUGAUCCUUGGAGGCACCCGGUGGAAACAGAGCCAGGUUUUGUCAUUGUCGAGCGUAACACCGUCCAGUGUACAUGUACUUUCAUCACGCAAGCUAUAGAUGUCUGCUUUAAGUUAACCUAUGUGCUGGAUGUUGACUACCACACCCA